rnacentral:rRNA from 1 species
AAGGGCACCACAAGAACGCGUGGAUCAUGUGGCUUAAUUUGACUCAACGCGGGAAAUCUUACCGGGUCCGGACACACUGAGGAUUGACAGGUUUCGAGAGUUUUUUUGGAGUUCGCUCCAGAAUGCUCUCUUAAAUAUGCUAGUCCUUUCAUGAUUAUGUGAUAGGUGGUGCAUGGCCGUUCUUAGUUCGUGGAGUGAUCUGUCUGCUUAAUUGCGUUUCACUAAAGGCGUCAUUAUAUUUUUGUGCUUGUGUUUGACCCCUCUUUCUUCGGAUUGAGCGCGUGUCUUUCACACACAAUUACUUUGACGUCUGAAAGCAACGAACGUGACCGUAACCUCUUGUUGCCUUCUCUUCUCUUCGGAGAAUGCUAGUUUUUUUCUUCGGAUAAAUUCUAGUAUAUGGAGGCUUUUACUCAAACUAGAGGGACCGCUGUUACUUUCUUUAAACCAGAGGAAGGUUGCGGCAAUAACAGGUCUGUGAUGCCCUUAGAUGUUCCGGGCUGCACACGUGAUACAUUGAUUACUUCAGUGAGUAUCUACGUAUUACUGCGCAGCACUAUAAAUUUUGUGUUUUUUUCUUCGGAAGAAUUCACAUAUUUAUAGGCCGCCUCAACCUACUUCGAAAGUAUGUGGGUAAACAAUUAGAAGUAGUGAUUUCCCUCUUUUAUAAGCACACUUAUAUGGAGCAUCAUCACCCGGCUUGCCUUGUGCUUGUUUUGUGUGUGUUGUUUGCUUUCCAUGUGCUUUUGUCAAUUCAUAGUGGGGACAGACCAUUGUUAAUUGUUGGUCUCGGUCUUAACUAGGAAUGCCUUGUACGAGUCUUGGUUCAACAAACCACUCGGAAUACGUCCCUGCCCUUUGUACACACCGCCCAUCGCUCUUAUCGAUGGAUUAUAUUAUGAGUAGGCAGGACCGUCUUAGGAAAUGCCCGCGAAUAAUGUGAUCUAAAGGAAAGAGAAGUCGUAACAAGGCAUCGGUAGGUGAACCU